AUUGAACGCUGGCGGCAUGCCUUACACAUGCAAGUCGAACGGUAACGGGCCUUCGGGUGCCGACGAGUGGCGAACGGGUGAGUAAUGUAUCGGAACGUACCUUUCAGUGGGGGAUAACGUAGCGAAAGUUACGCUAAUACCGCAUAUUCUGUGGGCAGGAAAGCAGGGGAUCGCAAGACCUUGCGCUGAUUGAGCGGCCGAUAUCAGAUUAGCUAGUUGGUGAGGUAAAAGCUCACCAAGGCGACGAUCUGUAGCGGGUCUGAGAGGAUGAUCCGACACACUGGAACGGAGACACGGUCCAGACUCCUACGGGAGGCAGCAGUGGGGAAUUUUGGACAAUGGGGGCAACCCUGAUCCAGCCAUGCCGCGUGAGUGAAGAAGGCCUUCGGGUUGUAAAGCUCUUUCGGCCGGGAAGAAAUCGUAUCAGCUAAUACCUGGUGCGGAUGACGGUACCGGCAUAAGAAGCACCGGCUAACUACGUGCCAGCCGCCGCCGUAACAC
rnacentral:rRNA from 1 species